AAGUCGUAACAAGGUAUCCGUAGGUGAACCUGCGGAUGGAUCAUUACCAAUUUUAUAUGUUAGUUUGCGCAUCUCUGUCAAAGGGGGUGUUGCAUAACUACUAUGUAAACGUUGAACUAGAUCAAUUGGUGUGGAUUGCUUGGGAAUGGACGAAGCGAUGAGCCUCUUCCGGACAGGCAAGCCCCACACUUAUAACCUUUUUCAUAUCAUUUACUCGUACAUACUACAAACAACAACAAAAACAAAAGCUAUAAUAGGACUUAUUAACGGCUGAGUGGGUAACAUCCUCGGCUUAUACAUAUAACUAUUACAACUUUCAGCAAUGGAUCUCUAGGCUCUC
rnacentral:misc_RNA from 1 species